rnacentral:rRNA from 1 species
CCUACGGGCGGCUGCAGUGGGGAAUACUGCACAAUGGGCGCAAGCCUGAUGCAGCCAUGCCGCGUGUGUGAAGAAGGCCUUCGGGUUGUAAAGCACUUUCAGCGGGGAGGAAGGCGGUGAGGUUAAUAACCUCAUCGAUUGACGUUACCCGCAGAAGAAGCACCGGCUAACUCCGUGCCAGCAGCCGCGGUAAUACGGAGGGUGCAAGCGUUAAUCGGAAUUACUGGGCGUAAAGCGCACGCAGGCGGUCUGUCAAGUCGGAUGUGAAAUCCCCGGGCUCAACCUGGGAACUGCAUUCGAAACUGGCAGGCUAGAGUCUUGUAGAGGGGGGUAGAAUUCCAGGUGUAGCGGUGAAAAGCGUAGAGAUCUGGAGGAAUACCGGUGGCGAAGGCGGCCCCCUGGACAAAGACUGACGCUCAGGUGCGAAAGCGUGGGGAGCAAACAGGAUUAGAUACCCCGGUAGUC